ACUAUUUGUGCGACGCAUGUAAAUUGAAGCUACCGAUUUAGGGCUUUUCGGAAGUGUAUUUCGCUCUUCGCACGUAAUGGAUGUUUCUGCUACUUUUUAUUUGCAGAGUUGUGGCUUUUGUUGAAUUGACAGCCAGCCAUAGCCCUGCGGCCCCACUGACGAGAGGCAGCGGAAGGAGCGAUGGCAGCCGGAGGCUCGGACCAGUACGAGCUGGACGUCCACCUGUCGGUGGGAUUCCUCCGCAAACAGCUGGGAGGGACCAUCGAGGAGGCGGUGCGCACGGCCGUGGAGACGGUCCUGUGCGAGACGGUGCGCCUGCUGGGCGAGCGCCUGGGACACCUCCAGGGAGCCCGCGAGCACGAGGGCCUUGCGGGCGUUGCGGGCCUUGCGGGCCUCCCGGGCCUCCCGGGCCAGAGCCUGAAGCUGUGGUUUGAAGCUGCGGGGGAGGACUGGAAAGCGGAGCCCGGUGGCGACGACAGUUCCCGGGAUCAGGGGAGCGCGGGCAAAGCCGCGAGUACCAGGAGCACGAGUCGGCCGAACUGCGGCGCCCAGAAGCCGCACGGCCACGGCGACGUCCCGGAGCCCCCCCGCGACGAGCACGCCGAUUUCGGGGUGUUUCCCGACCCCUUCGACAUGGCGUCCGCUGGACCUCGGGAGGAUUUUGCGGAAGGGCAAGACAUGGGGCUGCCGGAGGACUGGGAGUUGAUGAAUAAGGUGUACAAGGUGGAGCACAGCGAGGCCCUGUCCUUCAUAGAUGAGGGUGGGACAGCACACUAUGCAGAGGACUACAUGAUGCACGACAGGGAUCUGAGGAUCAUCACAGUCCCUCUGGAAGAAGAGCUCUCUGAGAUGGACACAGCCGGCUCCAAGGACCAUCCGACGCAGUUCAGACAGGCCGACAUCAAAAAGGAGCUUCCGGAAGCGCAAACCUCCGGCGUGUUGGCUGAAGCUGCAGUGCUACCCUCUCGUGGUGAGCCCCAGGGCGAGGACAACAAGGGGUGUGACGCUCCUACGGAGUUUGGACCCCAGAACCAUCUGGAGCAGCUGCGGCUUUGGCUGGAGCGCCUCUGUCCCGAGGUGGUGCGCGAGUACGAGCGCGACGGCUGCCUGUGCGAACUGUCCCGCAGGAAGCUCAUCAAGUUCGCGGUGUCAUUCAUCAUGGAUCAGUUUGGAUUCUACCCUACCUCUGCACAGAAGACCAUGUUGGCAGAGCACAUCGUGGAGCUCUUUCCCAGCCUCCGCUUGUGCGUUCCCUCAGCUGGGAUCAACGGUGUGGAGCACCUGUACGACCCGGUGUCGCGGACGGGCUACAUCGAGACGCGGCUGCGCAACUUCCGACGGACGCUGGAGGCCGACAAGAAGAAGUACGUCUUGAAGCGUCGGCGGGCAGAGCUGGGUCUCCCGGGAGCCCCAGUGGGGCAGGGCCAGUCAUCGAGCGAAGAGACUCGCAAAUGGGUGGCGCUGAUGAAGAGGACCAAGCCGCUGAGCAAGAACUUGCCGACCAUCCGCACCGCCAUGGAGCGCACCUUCGUGGCUCGCAGGAAGUGGAUGAACAGCGCGCGACCUUGCUUGAGCGCCGUGCUGGCCAAAUACCCGCGCUUUCUGGACGUUCCCUCGACGAUUGACCUGGAAUUUGAGAAGAUGUACCCUGGGAAAGGGGACGCCUUCAUGUCCAAGUGGAGUUCCAGCGUGUUGCCGAGGGUGCGCCAGAUCGCGGAGUGGGAGAAGCACCCAGAGAUCACUGCCCUCCUCCAGCAGGCCAGCUCCCAGCAGGAAGAUUCCUGCACGCUUACCAUGCUGAAAGUGCUCAUGCUCUUACUACCUCCAGCCAACACGGGCAGAGGUUCCCUGCCCACCAAGUUCAGCAUCAAGCAUGCGAUUCGCUACCUGGUAGAUCUUGUCCCGAUGGACACGAAUGUGUCCACAUUGUUCUGUGACCUGAGCACCGCAGAGCCACCCAGCACCCUGCCCAGGCCCUACAUCCUGAGUGUGGGACCCCUGGACUCCCCUGGCAGGAAGCUUUACAUCCUGGCCCCUGUGGAGCGUGUGGUGAUGGCUCUGCCGGAGGGAGGCCUGAGCGCCGCCGUGGACAAGCUCUUCAAGUUCCUGCGCAUCUUCAACCUAGACUACCCCGUGCAGCUCGCCCCGCUUUACAGCUUCCUGGAGCACCUGUAUGGCUUGGAGAAGCCCCACAGUGCCCUUGGGAGCAAGAAGUCCAAGGUACUGGAGCUGGUGUCAGGUCUCCAGGCUCUCUCCUGACGGCGUGGCGGUCGCACGACUCGAUCUCACCCGCGGGAUUGGCCCCCCGUUUCUCCCUCUCAUCAUGUUUUUGCCUUGACUCUAUCACACACUGAGUACGUAUGUUUACCUCUGAAAAGACACGUGGGCAGUCACAGACCUCGAGGGCGGUGGGCUCUGCUCGUUGUCCAGUGAGAAAGAGGAAGGGCUCAGUGGCCCAGUGAUUCAUCCCUUACAGUCAACAAGUCAGCUUGAGUUUUAAAUCAAGCGAAUCGGUUACUGACAGCACAGUCGAUGUCACCGGAACUGUUACGCACCAACAAAACCGGACUUUGCUAGGAAAAUGUUUUGGUAAGGGAUUUGAUAUCACAUUGUACUUUUUUUACUGUCUUUCUUUGUACAGCUGUUGUAGCUUUUAGGUUUGAGUGGCGCAGUUCAAUGUCUAAGUGCUACACUGAACUUGCGGCACAAAUGCAGCACUGCAGUUUUACCCUGGAGCAGCCAGAGUCACCUGGGCAAACAUAACAAAUGCCCAAUGUUCACAAGGACCUCGCACUGACUGCCUGCGCUUCCUGCAUUCAGUCGAACACCUGUGUAAUGUGAUCUCUUCCGGAUUUCGUAUGCACCGAGACCUCUGAGCUAAGGCGGUUUCCGGCGCUGGAACCGUACUCCCCUCAGCACAACCCGUCCCAUGGGAAGUCCUGCGGUUUGGACUGUAUGGGUGGGUUUGAUGCACAGCAGGUGCAUUUCCCAUCUCUGCAGCUUUAGUGUGUGUCAUUUUUAAUGUAAGGCCUUCCUCAGUUUUGCUCUUCAUUAAAGAUAGCCAGCAGCCUCCUUCAGAUUUGACAAUAGGUUCAUGACCACUUCUGGUUUCCACUUACCAUUCUCCGCUCUGUCGUGGUACUUGGUGCACUUCAGACAGGCCGGCUCCUCGUCUUACAUAAACAACUGGGACCAGAAGUCUGUUCCUAAUUUGAUUUACGCAUAAAUCCAAAGUCAGUUUUAUUGCAAAGUCACAGUCAAUGUGUCAAAAUACAGACCUCCCGUCAUUUAUUACAUUCUGUAGAAAUGUCUGCUACAGCUAUAAUAAGUAAGGCUUAUAAGGCAUUUUUGUUAACCGCACGCUACCUUAAUUUGAAUUGAGUGCCAGCAGGGUUGUGUCUGGUUCUAGAGGAGACUGGGGAUUAGGUGACAGAGGGUAGCCUUAGGGAGGUCUUAUUGCAAAACAAACCAGCCAGAGCACAAACAUGAAUGCAAUCACAAAAUCCUUUUGGCUGCAACAACAGCAUACACUGCAAAACAAACUUAGCCCUGCAGGGUUCUGCAUUCCGGACGUUUACUUUCGCCUCAGUCAAUUUAAGUAUACUAGGGCUUCACUAGCUGCACCUGGUGCUCGUUUCUCCCCACAUGUAGCUCCAAAACCAGGAAUUGGGGAUAAGAUGGAUUCUUUGUCUUUGUGUGCCUCGGAAAUAAAAAUUUUAAAAACACGUUUUUUCA
rnacentral:lncRNA from 1 species